GCAGUGCCUGUGACCUGCGGUUACCUACGAUCUAGACAGACGAGACCACCCUCUCAAGGUGGAGACACGGGUUCGAAUCCCGUUGGGGCUGCU
rnacentral:tRNA from 1 species